rnacentral:rRNA from 1 species
AGGAGUUUGGGAUCCUGGCUCAGAAUCAACGCUGGCGGCGUGCCUAACACAUGCAAGUCGAACGCGAAAGAAUUCUUCGGAAAUUGAGUAGAGUGGCGAACGGGUGAGUAACGCGUGGGUCACCUGCCCCGAGAUGGGGGAUAACCCGGGGAAACCCGGGCUAAUACCGCAUAAGCCUUACGAGGGAAAGCCUUAGGGUGUCUUGGGAGGGGCCUGCGUCCGAUUAGCUAGUAGGUGAGGUAAGAGCUCACCUAGGCGUCGAUCGGUAACCGGUCUGAGAGGACGGACGGUCACACUGGGACUGAGACACGGCCCAGACUCCUACGGGAGGCAGCAGUGGGGAAUUUUGCGCAAUGGGGGAAACCCUGACGCAGCAACGCCGCGUGGAGGAAGAAGGUUUUCGAAUCGUAAACUCCUGUCCGGAAGGAAGAAAAAAAUGACGGUACUUCUGGAGGAAGCCCCGGCUAACUCCGUGCCAGCAGCCGCGGUAAUACGGGGGGGGCGAGCGUUGUUCGGAUUUACUGGGCGUAAAGGGCGCGUAGGCGGUGAGAGAAGUUUUGGGUGAAAGCCCCCGGCUCAACCGGGGAAGUGCCUGGAAAACCAUCUGACUGGAGUGCUGGAGAGGCAAGCGGAAUUUCUGGUGUAGCGGUGAAAUGCGUAGAUAUCAGAAGGAACAUCGGAGGCGAAGGCGGCUUGCUG